GGCUCGUGGUCACGCUCGCGAAGGCGUUCCGUCGUUCGGGCGUUCCGUUCGGCGACCUCGUGCAGGAGGGCAACCUCGGCCUGAUGCGCGCCGUCGACAAGUUCGAUCACCGCGUGGGCACGCGUUUCUCGACGUAUGCGGCAUGGUGGAUCCGCCAGGCCGUCGCGCGCGAAGUGACGCGGCAGCGCGAGACGGUGCGCCUUCCGUUCGGCGUCAUCGACAAGCGCCGCCGGGCGACCCGCGUCGCGCGCAAUCUUCGGCAAUCGCUCGGCCGCGCGCCCGACGCGGACGAAGUGGCAGAACAGCUGGGCGUGAGUGAAGACGCCGCGCGCCGCGCGCUCGAAGCGAUGACGCGAUCGAUCUCGCUCUCCGCCCACGUGAGCCCGGACGGCGAUCGCCCGUUCGACGAAGUGCUCGCGACGAGGAAGCGCCGUCGGUGGACGAUCAGGCGAUGCUCCGCGAGCGCGGCAUUGUCGCGCGCAGCGUGCUCACGCGCCUCAACGAGCGCGAGCAGUACAUCCUGCGGCGCCGCUUCGGCUUCGACCAGAGCGGCGAAGAGACCACGCUGCGCGAGAUCGGCGAGGAGCUCGGCCUCAGCCGCGAGCGCGUACGGCAGCUCGAAGCCGUCGCGCUCGACAAACUGCGCCGCGAGCUCGGCGACGAAGACGAGCAGUAGUCUGCGGCUGAGUGCUCUAGGCAGCGCGCUGUCGCGCUGCUUGCCAGCGGACCAUCGCCAGAUCGAUGGCCCGCGCGAUCGCGUUCUUGAGAUCGCCGUCGCGCACCUCGGCGCCCAUGCGUCGCCACUCGUCGCGCCCUGCGAUCGAGACGGCGUAGCCGCCUGACUCGCUCGCGAUCACGACCUGCAAACGCGCGCGUCCAUCCGGGUCCACCAAAGUCGCGAGCGCGCGCAGGCGCUCGCGAAGCGAUUGGCGCGCAUCGGAAGGCAGCUCGACUCCGUCCCACUCGAUCUCGACCAUGUCGUUCACCUGCGGCUCUCGAAUCCCGGUCCGUCUCCGGCAACGUGCGUGCCCGUUCGGCGUAUCGCCGAAACCGUCGAUCGCGAUCGUCUCCGUGCGCGGCCCAACGUCGCCGUUGUGG
rnacentral:misc_RNA from 1 species